AGACGAACCGUCCAAACGUUAUUCGGAAUUACUGGGCUUAAAGGGUGCGUAGGCGGCGCGGUCAGUCGGAUGUGAAAUCGUACAGCUCAACUGUACAACUGCGUCCGAAACUACCGUGCUUGAGGAAGGCAGAGGUGAGCGGAACUCAGGGUGGAGCGGUGAAAUGCGUUGAUAUCCUGGGGAACACCGGUGGCGAAGGCGGCUCACUGGGCCUUUUCUGACGCUGAGGCACGAAAGCUAGGGUAGCGAACAGGAUUAGAAACCCGAGUAGUCC
rnacentral:rRNA from 1 species